rnacentral:lncRNA from 1 species
ACUUCUGGCCUUAAGUGAUCCUCCUGCCUUGGCCUCCCAAAGUGUGGGAUUACAGGCAUGAGCCACUGUGUCUGGCUGAAAUUGGAAUUCUAAAGAAUCAAAUUUUGCCCCAAUUUGCUGUGCUGCCUGUGCUUGGAAUAAACAUUUUGCAGCCAUACAGAAAUCAGAAGAUUUAUUGAGAAUACGGUACAUGCUCCUAGUGGGUAGAGAGGAAUCAGACAUAGCUCCCGCCGUCAAGGAGAUCUGAGUUUCAUGAUGAAGAUACAAAAAUGAAAAUGACUAUGUGUGGAAUGUGCUAAUAGUGAUAUGAGCAGGGCAAGCUCAAGGCACGAGGGAAGGUCAAAGGAAGCUUAUGAAAGAAAGAGAUUCUUCGGCAGUGUUAAGCAAACAUCCAUGACACAGAUACUGCUGAAAAGUGACCUGUAUCCAGCUGAGGAGCACUGGUUGUACAUUUGUGUUUGGUGCUGACAGAAGAGUCUACGCUACUAAGAAUAUUAAGUUAUCAUCUGGCCUCUGGAUUGAGGAGGUAGCAUUAUAUAAGUAAAUGGAGGGUCAGAGACACUGUUGGUUACCCAAGAUCGUAUUCCAGAUCACUGGUGAAGCCUGUUAGCAACUCCAAGCAUUUGAGCUAGGAUCUGCUACUUCUCAACACUAGGCUACAGACAUUCUCAGCAGUUAUCAUCUUACUGGGCUUAACAAUAAUGUACAAGGAACAUAACUGCAAAGUGGGCUACUGUGUCUCACAAGAUGAGAACAAAGGAAGUGCUGGAAGAGUUUCAAGUCUGGCUGCAGAAAGCUGGAAAGAUGACAGUCUACUUGGGAAAAUGAUACAAAAUGUCUGAAAAUUUAAGCAACUGCUCAAGACUCCUGUCUUAUGAGGGAAAGGAGGCGGGCUCCCUCACAAGACAUUAAGGCUGCCUGUGAGGGCUGUCACCAGUAGUGUUACUAAGUUAAGAUCCUAAUGUACAGUGUGGACACAUGAGUGUUUCUCUUUCUUUUACAAAUGCUGCUAAAGAACAUGCCCAUAGAGGAUAUUUGCAACACCUUAUAAACUAAACCUGACAAUAGGAAAGACCAUACAAAAAGUAUGUACCUUUUAACUUUUUUCCCUUAAGAAAGAAGUUCUAGGUAAGGUAAUCAGGUAAGAAAUUAUUCAAAUAAAAUUAGAAAAAUCAAAUAUUGCUCUGGUUAUACAUGUAAAAUAAUUGCAUUUAUUCAUUAAAAUAAUGCAUUGUAUGUAUUGAUCCAUCUAUAAUUUAUGAGGCACUGGGCAACCUAAUCAUGAAUUCACUCAGUCAUUUAUUGUGUCUGUUAUUUCAACCCACAUUAUUGAACUUCUGUUAUGUGCAAAGCUGUGGCCAGGGUGUGGAUUUCUCCAUGGAUAAGACAUAUUCUGUCCUAGAGAGGAGGCUAGAAAAACUACAGUUUAAUGAGCAGAUAUUAGAUGCUCUGUACUAUGCUAAGAAUUUUAUGCACAGUAUUUCAUAUGAAAAUUGUAAUAACUCUGUUAGGCAAGGCUUAUUGUAAUGUUCUUAGAGAUGGUGUAUUAGUCUGUUUUCACAUGGAUAAUAAAGAUAAUGAGAC